rnacentral:rRNA from 1 species
GUCUGUUUGGAGGUAUAAACAGUCUAGCCUGCCCACUGAUAAAUAUUAAAUGGCCGCGGUAUUCUGACCGUGCAAAGGUAGCAUAGUAGUUAGUUUCUUAAUUGGGAUCUUGUAUGAAUGGUUGGAUGAAAGAAAAACUGUCUCUAUAAUUAAAAUAGAAUUUAACUUUUAAGUGAAAAGGCUUAAAUAAAUUAAAGGGACGAUAAGACCCUAUAAAGCUUUAUAUAAUUAAAUAUUAAAUUGAAUUUUAAAAUAUAAAAAUUUAGUAUAAAAAUUGUAUUUCAUUGGGGCGAUGAAAGUAAAAUGAAUAAUAACUGCUUUAUUUGAAGACACUUAUAGGUGAAUUAAAUUGUAGUUGAAAGAUCCUAGAUAAAGAUUUAGAGAUUAAGUUACUUUAGGGAUAACAGCGUUAUUUUUUUUGAGAGUUCUUAUCGAAAAAAAAGUUUGCGACCUCGAUGUUGAAUUAAAAUUUCUCUGUAAUUGUAGGUGUUACAGAAGAAGGUCUGUUCGACCUUUAAAUUUUU